rnacentral:rRNA from 1 species
GUGCCAGCAGCCGCGGUAAGACAGAGGGUGCAAACGUUGCUCGGAAUUACUGGGCGUAAAGCGCGUGUAGGCGGGCCGACAAGUCAGAUGUGAAAUCCCUGAGCUCAACUCAGGAACUGCAUUUGAAACUGUCGGCCUUGAGUGGUGGAGAGGGAAGCGGAAUUCCUGGUGUAGAGGUGAAAUUCGUAGAUAUCAGGAGGAACACCGGUGGCGAAGGCGACUUCCUGGACACCAACUGACGCUGAGACGCGAAAGCGUGGGGAGCAAACAGGAUUAGAUACCCUGGUAGUCC